AUUGAACGCUGGCGGCAUGCUUUACACAUGCAAGUCGAACGGCAGCGCGGGCUUCGGCCUGGCGGCGAGUGGCGAACGGGUGAGUAAUACAUCGGAACGUGCCCAGUAGUGGGGGAUAGCUCGGCGAAAGCCGGAUUAAUACCGCAUACGACCUGAGGGUGAAAGCGGGGGAUCUUCGGACCUCGCGCUAUUGGAGCGGCCGAUGGCAGAUUAGCUAGUUGGUGGGGUAAAGGCCUACCAAGGCGACGAUCUGUAGCUGGUCUGAGAGGACGACCAGCCACACUGGGACUGAGACACGGCCCAGACUCCUACGGGAGGCAGCAGUGGGGAAUUUUGGACAAUGGGCGAAAGCCUGAUCCUGCAAUGCCGCGUGUGUGAUGAAGGCCUUCGGGUUGUAAAGCACUUUUGGCGGGAACGAAAAGGACUGUGCCAAUACCACGGUUCGAUGACGGUACCCGCAGAAUAAGCACCGGCUAACUACGUG
rnacentral:rRNA from 1 species